GAUGAAGAACGUAGCGAAAUGCGAUAAGUAAUGUGAAUUGCAGAAUUCAGUGAAUCAUCGAAUCUUUGAACGCACCUUGCGCCCCUUGGUUAUUCCAAAGGGCAUGCCUGUUUGAGUAUCAUGAACACCUCAACUCUUGUGGUUUCCCACAAUGAGCUUGGACUGUGGAGGUUUUGUUGGCCCUGUGGUCAGCUCCUCUCAAAUGGAUCAGCUUACCGGUGUUUGGUGGCAUUACGGGUGUGAUAACUAUCUACGCUCGUGGUCGUCUCCAAAUAACCUCCAGUGAUGGAGGUUCGCUGGAGCUUAUAAAUGUCUCUCCCCAGUGAAGACAGCCUUUGAAUGUUCGAUCUCAAAUCAGGUAGGACUACCCGCUGAACUUAAGCAUAUCAAUAAGCGGAGGA
rnacentral:misc_RNA from 1 species